rnacentral:sRNA from 1 species
ACACUGAUUUUGACAGCCCUCAUACAAAUGUUCAAAGUGAAAUGGUACUUGAAAAUAUAAUUAGAAUUAAUUAAUUACAAGAUUUGGUCGGUGUCUAAAAAGUGGUACAAAUCAAGUUCACUCUUUCUGCAGUUAAACUAUUUGUAUUUAUAUCUGUUAAUAAUAAAGAGUCUCCAAAAUAUUGAAAGGUAAUGCAACUCGUGUUACCGAUAUACACAUACACAUUAGUACAUACAUAUGUGUGUAUAUAUUAAAGUUUGAUAGAAAUUAUUUCAUAAACGAAAAACAAAUUGUGUUUAAAAUGGCGGAAGCAAAUGCUGCUGGAACAAGUGUGGAAGGCGCUGUUGGUUUGCUAGCCCCGCACCCUAAUGCUGAACUAAUAAGGGGUCAAAUUUUUGAAGUGGGUCCCAGAUAUACCAAAUUAGCUUACAUUGGCGAAGGAGCUUACGGCAUGGUGGUAUCUGGCGAUU